UGGAAAUCUCCACUAUUUCCCCAAGUUUCCCACUCUUAGGAGAAAAAAAAUAAGAAGAGAGGGUUGAAUUCUGCUAAAGAAGGCUUGGGUUUCUUUUCAAACUAACUUAUAUAAGACCUGGUUCCACCCAAAGGGUCGAACCAGUUAGUUUGGUCGAAAUUUCUCUUGUUUCAGUUGAAACAUGGGAAAUUUCGUCGAAUUUGGUUGAAACAUGUCGAAACAUGGUCAAAACCUGACUUUUAAAAGUCACAGCCUCACAGGACAUCGUUUUGGCCCCUAGGGAUACGGUCGGUUUCGAUCGAGGUCUCGAACCAUGUAAAAAACCCCUUGGACCAUACCCAUAUUUUAAGCCAUUAAAGUUGCCUAUUACAAUAAAAAAAAAACCCUUGGACCAAAGGCCAAGUGGCCAACACAUCUAUAACUCAACCCAAGGCUUGUUACCACUAAAUAAGCCUUUUCUCUGGUUUUUCUGCAUUGAUUGUGCUACAGGCUUAACUAAUAUGCUAACUUCCAAUAACUGGUGGAUGUCGUUGGUGGCUUGGUAUUAUAAGCAGGGAAAGUACUGUACACUUUCCCCAACCCAAGGCUUUUUUGUAGAUGUUUUUAUACUAGUGACUGUUUUCUCUCUCAUCCAUCGUCUCUUGCAGGUUUUAGAGUCUCUUGCUCUUUCAUCAGAUUCCUCACAUAUGGUCUCUCUUUCGUAUGAUUUCAUUAAAUAUUUCAUAGGGUCAUAAAUUAAAAUUAGGGUGUUAGGUAUGAUUUUCCACCUUAUUUAUGAGAAAUUGAAAUCAAAUUCGUCUGAAAAUAGUGAAAUAGUUGGAGAGUUAUUUCACUUAUUGCACUGAAAUUACUUCAAACUUAUUUCGCGCUUUACUGUUUCAUGAACACGUGUUUGCAACAAGUGAAACAUGUCAUUUAAGUCUAACCUUGCAGCCAUUUCUUUAUACCUAUUGAUUUUCUACCAAAGAAGAAGCAGGUACCCCCCCCCCCCCCCUCCUCCACCCCUCCCUGUUCUCCCCCAACCUUCCUCUCAGCUUUUCCACCCCAACCCUCACUCUCAGUUCUCCCGCCCCAGCACCUUGAAUCUUCUUCCUAUAUAUCAAGAAAAUGAGUGACGUCCCAAAAUUUCUAUUGUCAUUAAGGUCUUGCUUUUAACAUGGUACCAGGCUGUUGUUCAUUUGCAGAGAUUCAAAUAAAAAAUCAAAAACAGAAAACAAAGGAGAGUUCCAAGGAUUUAGUGCUUGGACUUGAGGAUCAGAUUAGCCAUAUUGGAUCCUGAGUCAACAUGCUCAAGUUUAGGCCUUAUGGUCCAAGUCUGGAGAUAAAGAGUGCUAGAUGGUUAUAGCUGUCCUAUAUCAUCCUUAAGCUCGGAUUAUAUUGGGGCAGGCCUGUUCUGAUAACUUGACUGGACGACACGACAAAGCCUGGGCAAGCCACACGCCCAGUUGGAGCUGCGAAUCCUGGGCGGGUGUAAAACUUUCGAGAAUCUCACUAUAUUCAUUACGGUGUGGGGAAGAUUAUCUGAAUUGUUUUGUUGUACAGUUUUGGUUUUGCUUGGAUUCUACAAUAGAGAAGGAAAAUGUAUUGCCCAAGACACAGAAACUGCCCACAAUUGAAUCAUCCGCAUGCCAAUUUUGGGAUUUUUUUUUUUUUGAAAUGGUAUUAUAAUUAAAAACUCAACUUCAGAUUUUACGGUA